UUCCUACGGGGGGCAGCAGUGGGGAAUAUUGCACAAUGGGGGAAACCCUGAUGCAGCAACGCCGCGUGAGUGAAGAAGUAUUUCGGUAUGUAAAGCUCUAUCAGCAGGGAAGAAGAUGACGGUACCUGAAUAAGAAGCCCCGGCUAACUACGUGCCAGCAGCCGCGGUAAUACGUAGGGGGCAAGCGUUAUCCGGAUUUACUGGGUGUAAAGGGAGCGCAGACGGCGAUGCAAGCCAGGAGUGAAAGCCCGGGGCCCAACCCCGGGACUGCUCUUGGAACUGCGUGGCUAGAGUGCAGGAGGGGC
rnacentral:rRNA from 1 species